rnacentral:lncRNA from 1 species
AAAUUAUGUAGAUAAACCGUUACAUUAAACUAAAAUAAAUAUAUUUUAAUCUAUAAACCCAGUUUUCUUAAUUCAUCAAUUUAUAUCAUAGCCAUCAUCUUGACUCUGCUUUACAUCAACAACUUGAUGGCUAGUCAAAGAGACAUGUUAAUUGUUAUACCUUUAUUCUUAGCAGCACUCAUGUUGAGAUAUAAGAUAAAUUACAUCAUUAGCAAUCAAAUACUUGAAGGUGAGAGAUCAUCUGAAGUACUUAUUUUUCACUGAUGAUCUGACUGCUUCAUUUAAUUGACCAUUGACCAUUUAUAUAGUUUAUUUGCCUUUGAGGUUUUUUUCAUCCUCAGGAUAAGAGAGUGCCCUAGAACAAAGAUGAGCAUUGGAGUCAAAAGCUUAUCCUGGCUUUCACUUAGUCCCCUCCUCUAUUAGCCACCAAUAGGUGUUGCUCACUCUCCACUAGAGAUGUUGAUCUCUUGCAUGUAAGUAUAGAUAGAGGUCAUUGAUUUUAAGACCAGAUGAUAUUUCAAUAAAUUUUUCAGUAGUUUUAGAGAGCUAACAGAAAAGAAUAGUCAGCUAUAUCCAGGCUUAAAACAGGACACACAAAAUCACUCACUUUCAUUAACAAUAUCAGAAACUUGCCCAAUUGUAUCAACUGCAAAUCUCUUAUGAUUCCAAAUCAGAUCUUUCAAAUAAUCUUCAAUCUAGAGCACAUUGAAGAAUGUGCUCUAGAUUGGUAAUUACUUGAAAGAUCUGACUUUAUCAUUUAAAAAUGGGAGGACACUGCACUCAUGGACAUUGGAUAAGAAACAUCACCACCACUAUCACCACUAGUAUUCUUUAUAAUAUAGGAUGCACUCUUCUUCCUUUUAUAGCAACACACAUUUUAUCUUUCAUUUACUAUAUCUAGUAUGAAAUAGGUAUUCCAUAGAUACUUUUGCUCAUGUAUUUUCUAUUAGUUAAAAAUAAUUAUGAAAUUUCUCUUAACUUCCAUAUUUUACUUUUUUCUUAAGGAAAUUGUAUUUCAAUUUGAAUCUUUUUGCUAUGUAUUGCAUUUUUGGAGAAUGCAUUCUCGAUAUGAAGUGGGAUCUGGGUGUAUAGCAUUUAUUAUUAUUAUUAUUUUAAAUUAUGUAAUUCUUCAAAUAUCAAUAAUUUUAAGAAAUAUCUAUAAGUGUAGGUAUUUUCAUUUGUUAUUUUUUUAAUAUUCAUUAUGCAGUCUAAAACCUAUUAAAUUUUCUGAAGGAUAACUGAGAUUUUCCAC